GAUGAGCGCUGGCGGCGUGCCUAAUACAUGCAAGUCGAGCGAACGGACGAGAAGCUUGCUUCUCUGAUGUUAGCGGCGGACGGGUGAGUAACACGUGGAUAACCUACCUAUAAGACUGGGAUAACUUCGGGAAACCGGAGCUAAUACCGGAUGAUAUUUUGAACCGCAUGGUUCAAAAGUGAAAGACGGUCUUGCUGUCACUUAUAGAUGGAUCCGCGCUGCAUUAGCUAGUUGGUAAGGUAACGGCUUACCAAGGCAACGAUGCAUAGCCGACCUGAGAGGGUGAUCGGCCACACUGUAACUGAGACACGGUCCAGACUCCUACGGGAGGCAGCAGUAGGGAAUCUUCCGCAAUGGGCGAAAGCCUGACGGAGCAACGCCGCGUGAGUGAUGAAGGUCUUCGGAUCGUAAAACUCUGUUAUUAGGGAAGAACAUAUGUGUAAGUAACUGUGCACAUCUUGACGGUACCUAAUCAGAAAGCCACGGCUAACUACGUG
rnacentral:rRNA from 1 species